rnacentral:lncRNA from 1 species
CAAGAAUCCACUUGGUGGCAGUUCAUUAAUAUUUCAUACUUUCCACUUACAAGGAGAAUUGAUUCAUCCUGAACAGAAUUUAUACAUAACCUGGAUAUCAGGAUAUCUUCUCUGUCUGCAGUGACUUCACAAUGCCUUUUGUCAAUGGCAUUCAGAAUGCCUCAUCUAUCACAAUGGUAACCCACACAUUACCUUGAACGAAGAGACACUUUUAAAGUACAGGAGUGGAUCAGUUAGCUCAAAACUGUAAGAUUACAUCAUAUAUUAUGUACCUCUUCACCCAGAAGCAGCUGGAUUAAUAAAACAUUGGAAGGACCUACUGAAGGCUUACUUCAGCUAAAUCUGCAGCUUGAACAAAUCACUUUGAAAGGAAAUUAUAAGUGACCACAUCUUGAACAUUUAGACUCCAUCAGAGGUCAAAACGAGGCUUGGGACAGAGUUCCAUGACACCUAUUGUUGCAGGAGUCACAGAGGCUUCAGCACUCAGGUCAGAGACCAUGAGGAAACAGAGGCUAUGACUUAGCCAGAUGAUGAAAAUUUCCACUCAAGCAUUGUGAACUGGAGUCCACCUGGUACCACCGUGACCUCUAUCAGAAGUGUCUGAUGCCAAGAUUUAAAGUCUACUCAUCUUUCAAGAUGCAGACCCCACUAUGUUUCCAGAGAAUUUGGAAUGAAAUAUAUUCAAGGUUAUGAGAUAAUCUCUGAAGUGCUGUAAUUUAUGGCAUCGUGGCAGAGCAGCUAAAAUGAACAUUGUACCUGUCAGCAAGUUAAAAUGGAAAAACUUGAGACGUUCUG